CUGGUUGAUCCUGCCAGCUAGUCAUAUGCUUGUCUCAAAGAUUAACCAUGCAUGUCUAAGUAUAACUGCUAUACUGUGAAACUGCAAAUGGCUCAUUAAAUCAGUUAUAGUUUAUUGAUGGUACCUUUACUCGGAUACCGUAAAUUCUAGACUAAUACGUGCGUAAAUCCCGACUUCUGGAAGGGACGUAUUUAUUAGAUAAAAGGCCAGCCGGGCUUGCCCGACUCUUGGCGAAUCAUGAUAACUUCACGAAUCGUACGGCUUUAUGCCGGCGAUGUUUCAUUCAAAUUUCUGCCCUAUCAACUUUCGAUGGUAGGAUAGAGGCCUACCAUGGGGUAACGGGUGACGAAGAUCAGGGUCGAUUCCGGAGAGGGAGCCUGAGAAACGGUACCACAUCCAAGGAAGGCACGGCGCGCAAAUUACCCAAUCCCAACACGGGAGGUAGUGACAAUAAAUAACAACCGGGCAUUUUUGUCUGGUAAUGGAAUGAGACAAUCUAAAUCCCUUAACGAGUAUCCUUGGAGGGCAAGUCUGGUAAU
rnacentral:rRNA from 1 species